rnacentral:misc_RNA from 1 species
CCAAAAAAAGAAACCAAACAGUACCGUGAAAGAGAGAUUGCGCAUUCCCAUUCGCCCUCUUGAUUUCAAGAUGCCCGCCGAUAGCAGCAGGAUAGUCGGGUGAGGACGUGUUGUCACGCCUCCCAUACGUGGCAUUUCCCCGCUAAGCCGCAAGCGGCGGAGUCACUCGAUGACCAGCCGCUUCAGGACCGCUUGGCCGUUCUCGUCGAUGGCGGCUUCGGCGGAGAGUUUCUUGUCGCGGACGGCCUGUUCGUACAUGAGACCGUCGCCUUCCUCGACGUAGAACUCCUCGAUGCCGAACCGCAACCGGCGCCAGCCUGAGGUGCGGCCUUCGAGAUAGACGACGCCCUUUGGCCGCUCCAGGCUGUAGUCCGUGGCAUGCCAGUGGACUCCAUCGGCUUCGGGCUCGAGCGUCACGUAGACGGUGUGCUCUUCACCGUCGUUGGCGCCGACGCUGGGUAAGACAUCCCCGGGGAUCGUGCUGAACUCGUAACCGAGGAUCACGUACUCGCCUUUGAACAGAUCGCGAGGAUCGACGGGUACGACUCGCAGCAGGACGGUCUGGCCGGUGGCGAGCGUGCUGGCGGGUUUGACGAUCAUCGCCAAGAGCACGGCCAUCUGGAAUGCGACGGCGGCCGCCAGCACUGUGAAGGCGUUGCGCUGGAACCAGUCGAGCAAUCGCUGUAGCCAGGAGAAGCCGGGCAGGUCAAUCGCGGAAGUGGAGGUCGUGGAAUCAGGCAUGU